UUUAUCAUGGGGCUUUGCAAUUCAGGUUUGAGCAUAUAAGCUUGGUGUCUAUUGGCUUGCUGGUGAAGUUUUCAGGGGCUUAAAAUUUAUCAGGGUCUCGAACUUGAUAUUGACCGGUUUGAUCUCCAGAAAGUAAAAUUACCGGCCAGUUCAAGCUUGAUAUGCUGGACUGUUUGAAGAAA